rnacentral:rRNA from 1 species
UGAGUAACACGUGGGAACGUGCCCUUCGGUUCGGAAUAACUCAGGGAAACUUGAGCUAAUACCGGAUACGCCCUUUUGGGGAAAGGUUUACUGCCGAAGGAUCGGCCCGCGUCUGAUUAGCUUGUUGGUGGGGUAACGGCCUACCAAGGCGACGAUCAGUAGCUGGUCUGAGAGGAUGAUCAGCCACACUGGGACUGAGACACGGCCCAGACUCCUACGGGAGGCAGCAGUGGGGAAUAUUGGACAAUGGGCGCAAGCCUGAUCCAGCCAUGCCGCGUGAGUGAUGAAGGCCUUAGGGUUGUAAAGCUCUUUUGUCCGGGACGAUAAUGACGGUACCGGAAGAAUAAGCCCCGGCUAACUUCGUGCCAGCAGCCGCGGUAAUACGAAGGGGGCUAGCGUUGCUCGGAAUCACUGGGCGUAAAGGGCGCGUAGGCGGCCGAUUAAGUCGGGGGUGAAAGCCUGUGGCUCAACCACAGAAUUGCCUUCGAUACUGGUUGGCUUGAGACCGGAAGAGGACAGCGGAACUGCGAGUGUAGAGGUGAAAUUCGUAGAUAUUCGCAAGAACACCAGUGGCGAAGGCGGCUGUCUGGUCCGGUUCUGACGCUGAGGCGCGAAAGCGUGGGGAGCAAACAGGAUUAGAU